CGACCGAGAUGGAGAACAUUGCGGCCCAUAGAUGUUCCGAAAACUCUGUCGCUCUCUAUUACUCUAGGGGUUGUUUGUGUUAGAAGUCUGGAAAUUACCUGGGAAGGACAUGGAGAUUUCUACCAUGCAGCAUUCCCUUCAGUUAUGUUCCAGAUCUACAUAAAUGUAGGAUACUUUUACAAAUAUUUAUCAGUUGGACAGUUAUAGUAAAGUUCCUAAAUGACAAAUGCAGCUCACGGAAGGACGAACAAAGAAGAGUAAAGAUCUGUUAUUUGGUUUACAGACUUCAUCACACAACAGAUAGAUUUAAGUUAGAAUGGAACUUUUGGUACUUGUAUAUCUAAUUGUUUCAAUGUUUAUAGUAACAUAGAGAUCAUAGACUAGAUUCACAGGCUGUUAGACUCUUAAAAAUUGGCUGGAAAGCUGUUUACACACAAGACAUUGUUGACGCGAAUAAGUUCCGUUGUUUUGAGCUGCACUGGUCAGCCUUUCGGUAGUGCUUUCUUUGAUUUGUAAACCUUCAGAUAAU